UUUGAUAAGUCAAUGAGGAUGAUAGCAAUUUUUGAGACAAUCGCUUCCUCAAGCUCAGCUAUUAUGCGAUUACAUUGUCUCUAGAUUAGGGUUCUAUAUUGUUAUUCAUCUUUUCAUUCUGAUUAAUCUUAACCAACAGAGCUAUCGGAUGAUUCUAAUCGUCUUCUCUCUCAAACAUUAGAACUUAAUAAACAUUUGUUAUAUGUAGGUGCUUGAAGACGAUUACAAAGAUAGAAUUCUGAUUACUCAAUCCAUAAAAGAAAAUAAGAAAUUGAAGUUUUUGUCCCCUUGCAACUCUAUCAUUUAUCGAUUGAAGAAUCAAUAUUGAUCUUACAGGUAACAUCUUUAGAUUAUGGAUUGUCAAGCCACUCAAUACACUCAAUACAGAUUGACGACAGGUGUGUUUUUGUAAAAUGAAUUGUGACGCUGUUUGUUUUUUCAUUUGUAAGUUCAACAUUUAUGAACUUGAUUUCUUUUUGCGAUUUUUGUACGAUUUUGAGACAAUUGCUGAAGAUUGCAUUAAAAAGUGGUGCUUUACGUCAUGACAUCCUUACUUUAGGGUUUUGGUCCCCUGUUCGUGGUGGAGUGUGGGUGUAUUUCAAAUCAUAUGGUAUUAAAUCAGAAAGCACUCGUACCAGUUGCACCAUUGUGAAAGGUGAUGAUUACAGAAAAGUCUCAAAGUUGAGUCACAACGCUAUCGCUGCUUCAAAAUCCCUCAUCAUACCCAACUUCUGUCACCAGAAUUCUUUACCCAGUUGAUACAUAAUGAAAUUUGUACAAUAUGGGCAUAACAAUUCAUACUACAGUUAGACCCCACAGAGUUAUAUACAACAUAUAUUGGGUAGGACCUCAAUGUUUCUUGGAUUCGUCGGUUGCAACUGGCAUCAAAAUCGGAUUACUUGAACUUUCCGGAGAUUGAGAUGAUUUGACCUACUAGAUGAUGGGGAUGGACGUUGGAAUCACAAUUUCUUUGGAUUUUCGUUUAAAGCGUCUAUAAAAGUUUCAGUUUUGAUUCGCCAUGGGAGCAUACCUGUUCUACUUCCUUGAAGCAAAGUGAGUACAUAGCAGCCAUCAAGAUAGAUGAACUGAAUAGUGGUUGAAGAUGUCUUGCAUUUGUAGGUUAUUUAUAAUCGACUAUACCUAGCAUGGAAGGUUCUGUAGAUAUUGUUUCUUCUGGUCGUGGGUUGCAAUAAAUGGUAAAUCAUCUCAAAACAUUUGUACUUUUUUGGUUCUUUUCUAGGGUAUGAUGUUGUUGGAGGAAUUACUCCAACACCUCUUGGAGAAGGCAAGUCUACUACCAAUGUUUGUAAACAAUUUCAGUCUUUUUUGAAUUCAUGACAUUUUUUUACUUUUCUAAUUGUUUCAAUUUCCAAGAGAAAGCAGCUUUAACCUCACAAAUCAUUAGAAAUUGAUUUCAUUUUUAACUGUGAAGAAUGAUGAUGAGAC